rnacentral:lncRNA from 1 species
AGAGGCAUUGAUAUGCAGCAAGUUUCUUUAGUCAUCAACUAUGACCUUCCCACCAAUAGGGAAAAUUAUAUCCACAGAAUCGGUUGAGGUGGACAGUUUGGCCAUAAAGGUGUGGCUAUUAACAUGGUGACAGAAGAAGACAAAAGGACUCUUUGAGACAUCAAGACCCUCUACAACACCUCCAUUGAGGAAAUGCCCCUCAAUGUUGCCGACCUCAUCUGA